rnacentral:lncRNA from 1 species
UCCCAUUCCACACUUGUACUGCUCUUCAUCCAUCUCUGCCAAAGUAUUCACAAGUUUCAGUUUAAUUCAACUGCAACCUUCAACCAAAGCAAACAUUAAGGUAUUCUGUUUCUUUUCAAUUUACUUCCUCCUGUUACAUGAUGCACACCCACAGAAAUCAUAUUCAUUAGAUUGAAAUGCAUCAUACGAAGGGAGUAGCAUAACUAGUUACUUCUAUAGAAUCAAACACACUAUGACUUACACACAUAGCCUUAUCGUCUCACUUCUUACUUAUUAAAAAAACAACAGCAUGUUCACUUCUAUGUAUAACCAACAGCAUGUAACCAUACACGAUUUAGGCUUAAAAAUCAUGGCCUUUUACUUAGCACAACAACACCUAUAAUUCGUAGAAUAAGAGGGGAACGAAACUUGAAGAACUUAGCUUUUAGACAACGAGGGACGCGGCCCUGUUCAGUCGGGCCGA